rnacentral:rRNA from 1 species
GCGGCAGGGCUAACACAUGCAAGUCGAGGGGUAGAGGGUGCUUGCACCCUUGAGACCGGCGCACGGGUGCGUAACGCGUAUGCAACCUACCUAUUGCAGGGGAAUAGCCCAGGGAAACUUGGAUUAAUGCCCCAUAGUCCAUAUUGAGAGCAUUUGAGAUAUGGUAAAGAUUUAUCGGCUAUACAUGGGCUUGCGUCCCAUUACCUAGUUGGUAUGGUAACGGCAUACCAAGGCUACCAUGGGUAGGGGCCCUGAGAGGGGGAUCCCCCACACUGGUACUGAGACACGGACCAGACUCCUACGGGAGGCAGCAGUGAGGAAUAUUGGACAAUGGGCGGGAGCCUGAUCCAGCCAUGCCGCGUGCAGGAAGACUGCCCUAUGGGUUGUAAACUGCUUUUUUACUGGAAGAAACACCCCCACGUGUGGGGGCUUGACGGUACCGUACGAAUAAGGACCGGCUAACUCCGUGCCAGCAGCCGCGGUAAUACGGAGGGUCCGAGCGUUAUCCGGAAUCAUUGGGUUUAAAGGGUCCGUAGGCGGGCGUCUAAGUCAGUGGUGAAAUCUCGCGGCUCAACCGUGAAAUUGCCAUUGAUACUGGUCGCCUUGAAUUAGUGUGAAGUGGCUAGAAUAUGUAGUGUAGCGGUGAAAUGCUUAGAUAUUACAUAGAAUACCGAUUGCGAAGGCAGGUCACUAACACUAUAUUGACGCUGAUGGACGAAAGCGUGGGGAGCGAACAGGAUUAGAUACCCUGGUAGUCCACGCCGUAAACGAUGGAUACUAGCUGUCCGGCCUGCAUUGGUAGGCUGGGUGGCCAAGCGAAAGUGAUAAGUAUCCCACCUGGGGAGUACGUUCGCAAGAAUGAAACUCAGAGGAAUUGACGGGGGCCCGCACAAGCGCUGGAGCAUGUGGUUUAAUUCGAUGAUACGCGAGGAACCUUACCAGGGCUUUUAUGUAGUCUGACAGGCGUGGAAACACCCCCUUCUUCGGACAUACUGCAAGGUGCUGCAUGGUUGUCGUCAGCUCGUGCCGUGAGGUGUCAGGUUAAGUCCUAUAACGAGCGCA